UACGAAGGGGGCUAGCGUUGUUCGGAAUACUGGGCGUAAAGCGUGCGCAGGCGGCUGCUCAAGUCAGGGGUGAAAGCCCAGAGCUCAACUCUGGAAUUGCCUUUGAGACUGAGUGGCUUGAGUACGGGAGAGGUGAGUGGAAUUCCCAGUGUAGAGGUGAAAUUCGUAGAUAUUGGGAAGAACACCGGUGGCGAAGGCGGGCUCACUGGCCCGUAACUGACGCUCAUGCACGACAGCGUGGGGAUCAAACAGG
rnacentral:rRNA from 1 species